rnacentral:misc_RNA from 1 species
UGGCAUGCUCAAUUAGGAGGACAGCAGCCAUCACUGUCCUCUCAAAUAGGAGGACAGCAGCGAUCGUGGUCCUUUCAAAUGGGAGAACAGCAGCCCUCAGGAACUACACACACAGCCAGACAUCAGCCAUUUGAAUCCAUGCAAAUGUCAAGACAGUUUGAACCUAUGGGAGGACAGCAGCCAAAUGGACCCUCAGAAAUGGCAGGACAGCAAUCAUCAGGGCCCCUUGAAUGGCAAGAGAACCACCAGCGAGCAGCAGCUUGAUUCUUCCAUGCAAAGUUAAUGUGAUAGAACUUUCUGCUCUCUUAUGUGCUGAUUUUUUUUUCUUUUUUCAUUUGAGAAAGGAAAUUACUUGAUCAUUAUUAUAUGCAGUGCGUCUUGAGUUGGCUUCAUAUCACUGAAGUGCAAGAAUAAGGUACCGUCUAGCAUUCUGGAUACCACUUUCUGAGAAUCUGACAUAUAUAUCUUGCACAUCCAUCCUAUACAAGAGAUCAACUAUUUUUGUACUUCUACACUUCUUAUUUGUCAUUGAUACAUAAAUUUUAAUGACAAAAAAUUUCUUUGCACACCAAAUAUUGAGGCUCCAAUAUGCAAUUGUCUUUGUAAGUUUGUAGAUACUUUUCUUGCCACCAAUGACCUUGAUAUUUUAGUAUAUUUUAACAGGUGAUUUUCUUUAUAUAAUUUCACUAUUCUUGCUUGGACGAGGAAAUGUAGGAUCCUUGGAACAAGAUUAGAUAGUUGAUUAUGUUGUAAUUUGAGGUAUGAAACUGUACUCUUUAGUGUUUGUGACAUUGAUGUUUCUACAAGUCAAUGAAAUGAAACAAAAUGCAAUCCAAUUUUUAUGAUAUUGUAGCAAAAUCCUGCUCUCUUUUCCAAGUUUCAGGAAGGUAGAAGUGCGCCAUUUACACUUUAAUGCUAUGCCUUAUCCCAUAAGACAUGAUGGACUUGAUGUAUUUGGUUGACCCACCCAUUUUCAAGGUGAUUAUUAUUAUUUAUUAGUACCCCAGUUAAGAUGUUUUGGUUGUACCAACUGACAUGGUCAAGUAUCAGAGGACAUGUUAGCCAUUAUCAAUCUAAUUUGUAGGACAGAACACUUUCUAUUGUUAUAACCUGUGUUUACUCUGCAAUCAGAAGAGCGAAACCAUUGAAUGUUUGGC